GCUUGAAACCAGACACUGAUGCCUGGGCACACAGUACAACCAAUGGGAAAGAGUGGCUGCUUCCUUCGAAUGGGCUGAUCGAUGACUGGUACAGCAGAAGCAGCUUUCGACCAACAAGUAAACUAUCCCUUCAUAUUACACUGUCAACCAACCUUCUUCACAAGGAGGAUAAUUUCAAAAUUCAUGUUUCUGCCAAUUACAGAGAAGACAUGUAGAAGGCUACCAUUUGUACCAGUAAAAAAAAGAAGGGAUCCAAACAAGUUUAGGGAUUCCCAACCUGGGUUCCAUAAACCCCUCAGUUAAUGGCAAGGGUCAAUGGCAUUAAAAAGUGUUCAGACCAACAUCUUCAACCAAACAACACUUGCUUUGAGAAAGGACUCAUUACCUCAGGAAUGGAACUGGAAAAGGCAAAAAGACUUGGAAAUCCAUCUUAGGAGUUUAUGUGGCUUAAGUGAUGUUAAUUUAUGUAUAAUCUUUAAUUAUCGGUGAACUCAAAGUCACUAUUACUGCAGUGCUGAACAGCAUUAUUUUCAUUAAUAUUAACAAUUUAGUCAGAAAACUCCAAAAAGAAGGGUCGAUACGUAAAUAGAUGCUUGUAAACAGAUCAUUUAAGUGUUGGAGUAGUUAAAAAGAACUACUCUUCUUCCCCAUUCACCAUACACCUUCUAUUUGUCUAACUGUCAUGUUCCUUCAGCAAAUUAGGACAAAGAUCAUUUAUUAAUUUCCCACAUGUACUCUAACAAUUCAACAAAUUACAGAGGGAAAAACUAUGGUGGCAGAUAUUGGGAUAUUCAGUAAAAGAAAUGGAGUUUCGUCAAGAACCUGGACAAAGCUUGAAAUUAGAAUUGGAAACCUAAAUUUUCAGAUUGCUUAAAUUCACUAACAUGAAUAUGAAGUUUGAAUGUAACAACUGUCCCUAUUCAGAUUCUCAGAACACAUUGAAAUUCUUUGUUUUUAAAUAGCAUCCAACCUUCAAAACAUACAGUUGCUGAAAUAUUAAAUCUUACUUUAUCUACUGAAUGCAAUACUGAAAUUAUACUUACACUUAAAUGUCCUAAAUAUUCAUGAAAAAGAACAACUUCAGAUUCAAGCAACAAAAGUUUCAUUAAUGACGGAAGACUUUAACGCUCACAUCAAAGUUUAAAUUGUUUAUAUCUAUUGCAAAUCAUUGAUUUAUUCGCUUUGAGAUGUGGCCAAAAUCUGCUAUAAGCUAACAAAUUUUCUUUCAAUUGAUUAUAGGUGUCCCUUCUCAGUAAAGUGAUUUAAUUGAUUCCAAAAGAAAAAUUUCAAAUGAUUAACUUUAAUGGCCUUGGGGUAAAUCAUAUUCCCAUCUCUCUUUUGCCUUUGUGAGUAACAGAUCCAAAUGAAUUCUUUAACAUGAAACCUACAGUCCAAGAGAUGCAAUCAAAUGAUUUGUCAGCUCUCUGGUCCUUCUUAGCUAAGAGGAAGAAAAAUAAUAUUUCUUUUUGGUUUCUCCAAAGGUACCUCACUUGUUCCAACAAGAUGCUUCCUUACAACUUGGUAUUGUUGCUAAUUAACCAUGUCUUAUCAUCCCAGAUGGAAUGCAUGAGACCUUUAUUGGUAUUUCUUUAAUUUGUGGUGGUUCUCAGCAAGCUUCCAUUUUUUUUUGAAGAUCUUCAAGUGAUCGAUCUUUCUUGGGAGAAAGAGGAAACUCUGGAAUUGUUUCAGCUGUAGGGCUCAAAAUGAUCUCAAAAGCUUGGCCUGAAGAACGUCUGUCUA